AGGGUUUCACGUAGCAUGCCUGGCUUGUGUGUCGAUGAAGAACGCAGGUAACUGCAAGAUUUUAAUGUAAAUUGCAGGACACAUUGGUCAUUGACAUUUCAAAUGCACUUGCGGCCCUGGGUUUCUCCCAGGGCUAUGUCUGUCUGAGCAUCA
rnacentral:rRNA from 1 species